UCGGGAUAGCUCAGCCGGUAGAGCAGAGGAC
rnacentral:tRNA from 4 species